GACGCACGGAUUUGAGCGGCCUCGGAAUUACCUCGAACGGACUUUUAAUCUGUAGGUCUUGGGUUCGAACCCCAACGCGCUCACCA
rnacentral:tRNA from 1 species